ACGCCGCGGUAACGACCGGCGGCCCGAGUGGUGAUCGUGAUUAUUGGGUCGUAAAGGGUCCGUAGCCGGUUUGGUCAGUCCUCCGGGAAAUCUGAUAGCUCAACUAUUAGGCGUUUCGGGGGAUACUGCCAGACUUGGAACCGGGAGAGGUAAGAGGUACUACAGGGGUAGGAGUGAAAUCUUGUAAUCCCUGUGGGACCACCUGUGGCGAAGGCGUCUUACCAGAACGGGUUCGACGGUGAGGGACGAAAGCUGGGGGCACGAACCGGAUUAGAUACCCGGGUAGUCCCAGCCGUAAACGAUGCUCGCUAGGUGUCAGGCAUGGCGCGACCGUGUCUGGUGCCGCAGGGAAGCCGUGAAGCGAGCCACCUGGGAAGUACGGCCGCAAGGCUGAAACUUAAAGGAAUUGGCGGGGGAGCACAACAACGGGUGGAAGCCUGCGGUUUAAUUGGACUCAACGCCGGACAACUCACCGGGGGCGACAGCAAUAUGUAGGCCAAGCUGAAGACUUUGCCUGAAUCGCUGAGGGGAGGUGCAUGG
rnacentral:rRNA from 1 species